rnacentral:rRNA from 1 species
AUUGAACGCUGGCGGCAGGCCUAACACAUGCAAGUCGAACGAGUGGCGGACGGGUGCGUAAUGUCUUUGAAACUGCCUGAUGGAUGGGGAUCACUACUGGAAACUGUAGCUAAUACCGCAUACCAUCGGAUGUGCCCAGAUGGGAUUAGCUAGUAGGUGGGGUAAAGGCUCACCUAGGCGACGAUCCCUAGCUGGUCUGAGAGGAUGACCAGCCACACUGGAACUGAGACACGGUCCAGACUCCUACGGGAGGCAGCAGUGGGGAAUAUUGGACAAUGGGCGAAAGCCUGAUGCAGCCAUGCCGCGUGUAUGAAGAAGGCCUUCGGGUUGUAAAGUACUUUAAGCGGGGAGGCGUUACCCGCAGAAGAAGCACCGGCUAACUCCGUGCCAGCAGCCGCGGUAAUAC